UGAUCCUGGCUCAGGGUGAACGCUAGCGGUGCGCCUAACACAUGCAAGUCGAGCGAUAGAAGCUUUUAGCUUGCUAAAAGUUUUGAGAGCGGCGAACGGGUGAGUAACACGUUGGAAUCUGCCCCCAAGUCAGGGAUAGCCAUUCGAAAGGAUGAUUAAUACCGGAUAGUCUCUACGGAGUAAAAAUUUACUGCUUGGGGAGGAGCCUGCGUUCUAUCAGCUUGUUGGUGAGGUAAAAGCUCACCAAGGCUAUGACGGAUAGCUGGUCUGAGAGGAUGAUCAGCCACAAUGGAACUGAGACACGGUCCAUACUCCUACGGGAGGCAGCAGUGAGGAAUCUUCCACAAUGGACGAAAGUCUGAUGGAGCGACACCGCGUGAAGGAUGAAGGCCUAACGGUUGUAAACUUCUUUUCUGAAGGAGCAUAAUGAGAGUACUUCAGGAAUAAGGGACGGCUAAAUACGUGCCAGCAGCCGCGGUAAUACGUAUGUCUCGAGCGUUACCCGGAAUCACUGGGUGUAAAGGGUUCGUAGGCGGUUUAAUAAGUUGGAUAUGAAAGACCGGAGCUCAACUUCGUGUUUGUGUUCAAAACUGUUAAACUAGAAUCAGGGAGAGGUAAGUAGAAUUCUAAGUGUAGGGGUGCAAUCCGUAGAUACUUAGAGGAAUACCAAAAGCGAAGGCAACUUACUGGAACUGUAUUGACGCUGAGGAACGAAAGCGUGGGUAGCGAAAAGGAUUAGAUACCCUUGUAGU
rnacentral:rRNA from 1 species